CCUAGGGUGGUAGCAGUGAGGAAGAGUGGUCAAGGGGCGCGAGCCGGAACCAGCCAAGUAGCGUGAAGGAUGACGGCCCUACGGGUUGUAAACUUCUUUUAUAAAGGAAUAAAGUGAGGCACGUGUGCCUUUUUGUAUGUACUUUAUGAAUAAGGAGCGGCUAACUCCGUGCCAGCAGCCGCGGUAAUACGGAGGAUCCGAGCGUUAUCCGGAUUUAUUGGGUUUAAAGGGAGCGUAGAUGGGUUGUUAAGUCAGUUGUGAAAGUUUGCGGCUCAACCGUAAAAUUGCAAUUGAUACUGGCAGCCUUGAGUACAGUUGAGGUAGGCGGAAUUCGUGGUGUAGCGGUGAAAUGCUUAGAUAUCACGAAGGACUCCGAUUGCGAAGGCAGCCUACUAAACUGCCACUGACAUUGAUGCUCGAAAGUGUGGGUAUCAAACAGGAUUAGAUACCCCUGUAGUC
rnacentral:rRNA from 1 species